rnacentral:rRNA from 1 species
UACGUAGGUGGCAAGCGUUGUCCGGAUUUACUGGGCGUAAAGGGAGUGUAGGCGGAUACUUAAGUCAGAUGUGAAAUACCCGGGCUCAACUUGGGUGCUGCAUUUGAAACUGGGUGUCUAGAGUGCAGGAGAGGAAAGUGGAAUUCCUAGUGUAGCGGUGAAAUGCGUAGAGAUUAGGAAGAACACCAGUGGCGAAGGCGACUUUCUGGACUGUAACUGACGCUGAGGCUCGAAAGCGUGGGGAGCAAACAGGAUUAGAUACCCUGGUAGUCCACGCCGUAAACGAUGGGUACUAGGUGUGGGAGGUAGCGAAUCCGUCCGUGCCGCCGUAAACACAAUAAGUAACCCGCCUGGGGAGUACGGUCGCAAGAUUAAA